CGCGUAGGCGGCUCAUCAAGUCGGGGGUGAAAUACUUCAGCUUAACUGGAGAAGUGCCUUCGAUACUGGUGGGCUUGAGGGAGGUAGGGGUCUUUGGAACUUCUGGUGGAGCGGUGAAAUGCGUUGAUAUCAGAAGGAACGCCGGUGGCGAAAGCGAAGGACUGGACCUCUUCUGACGCUGAGGCGCGAAAGCUAGGGGAGCAAACG
rnacentral:rRNA from 1 species